AGAACUCGACAUGUAUAAUUCGACAGAUUUUCUCUUCCAACUGAUGUGAUGUAGCAAGAUGAGCAACAAAAGAAGAAUCCCAAGAUAAUCACGUAAUUAUGUUAGGAGAGAUUCUCAGUUCAAUCUAAUCCUGUCUAAACAGGCUGAAAGAAAUUAGUCACUCAGAAUUAUAUAAAAGGCUCUAUUGAGGGAAUGAUACAAGCUUGUUGUGCAAGCCAGAAAUCUGAAUGUAUUCUUUGACAUCUACCACUCUUUUUCACUCUCUCCUUAUGUGGAAAGUACUAUGAAUUUAUUCUCCAAUCAUCUUUUUAAUCUGGACACCUCUGGCCAUUUCUAUUGCCACAACCAUAGUUCAAUUUAUUGUCAUCUCCUAACUGAACUACUGUAAUCGUUUCCUAAUACUCACUCAGAUGAUCUUACUUUAUGUAAUAUCUACUUCACAUACGCAGCUGGAGUAAAAUGUUACAUUACAAAUCUGAUAUGAGAAAAUUACAUCUGGGAGCAUUUUAAUUUACUUUAAUAGAGAGAUUCUUUUGUUAUGCAAAUAUCCCUUCAAUGACCAAAUUGUCUUUCUAAGGGGAUGUCAUCAAGAGGGAAAAGAGCUUAAAUUUAUUGAACUAAAGAAAUAAAGCAAUUAUUCAAGUAAAUAA
ensembl:lncRNA novel transcript